UGGGGCGUAGCCAAGUGGUAAGGCAGAGGACUUUGACUCCUCCAUCCGCUGGUUCGAGUCCAGCCGUCCCAGCCA
rnacentral:tRNA from 1 species